rnacentral:rRNA from 1 species
GAUGAACGCUGGCGGCGUGCCUAAUACAUGCAAGUCGAGCGAACAGACGAGGAGCUUGCUCCUCUGACGUUAGCGGCGGACGGGUGAGUAACACGUGGAUAACCUACCUAUAAGACUGGGAUAACUUCGGGAAACCGGAGCUAAUACCGGAUAAUAUAUUGAACCGCAUGGUUCAAUAGUGAAAGACGGUUUUGCUGUCACUUAUAGAUGGAUCCGCGCCGCAUUAGCUAGUUGGUAAGGUAACGGCUUACCAAGGCAACGAUGCGUAGCCGACCUGAGAGGGUGAUCGGCCACACUGGAACGGAGACACGGUCCAGACUCCUUCGGGAGGCAGCAGUAGGGAAUCUUCCGCAAUGGGCGAAAGCCUGACGGAGCAACGCCGCGUGAGUGAUGAAGGUCUUCGGAUCGUAAAACUCUGUUAUUAGGGAAGAACAAAUGUGUAAGUAACUAUGCACGUCUUGACGGUACCUAAUCAGAAAGCCACGGCUAACUACGUG